UACAGAGGGUGCGAGCGUUAAUCGGAAUUACUGGGCGUAAAGCGUGCGUAGACGGUUACGUAAGUCGGGUGUGAAAGCCCCGGGCUCAACCUGGGAACUGCAUUGGUGACUGGCAGGCUUUGAGUGUGGCAGAGGGAGGUAGAAUUCCACGUGUAGCAGUGAAAUGCGUAGAGAUGUGGAGGAAUACCGAUGGCGAAGGCAGCCUCCUGGGCCAACACUGACGCUCAUGCACGAAAGCGUGGGGAGCAAACAGG
rnacentral:rRNA from 1 species